UACAGAGGGAGCAAGCGUUAAUCGGAAUUACUGGGCGUAAAGCGUGCGCAGGCGGUUGUGCAAGACAGAUGUGAAAUCCCCGGGCUUAACCUGGGAACUGCAUUUGUGACUGCACGGCUGGAGUGCGGCGGAGGGGGAUGGAAUUCCGCGUGUAGCAGUGAAAUGCGUAGAUAUGCGGAGGAACACCGAUGGCGAAGGCAAUCCCCUGGGCCUGCACUGACGCUCAUGCACGAAAGCGUGGGGAGCAAACAGG
rnacentral:rRNA from 1 species